GACGAACGCUGGCGGCGUGCUUAACACAUGCAAGUCGAACGGUAAGGCCCUUCGGGGUACACGAGUGGCGAACGGGUGAGUAACACGUGGGUGAUCUGCCCUGCACUUCGGGAUAAGCCUGGGAAACAGGGUCUAAUACCGGAUAGGACUCCGGACUGCAUGGUCUGGGGUGGAAAGCUUUUGCGGUGUGGGAUGGGCCCGCGGCCUAUCAGCUUGUUGGUGGGGUGAUGGCCUACCAAGGCGACGACGGGCAGCCGGCCUGGGAGGGUGACCGGCCACACUGGGAAUGAGAUACGGCCCAGACUCCUACGGGAGGCAGCAGUGGGGAAUAUUGCACAAUGGGCGCAAGCCUGAUGCAGCGACGCCGCGUGAGGGAUGACGGCCUUCGGGUUGUAAACCUCUUUCAGCAUCGACGAAGCGAAAGUGACGGUAGGUGCAGAAGGAGGACCGGCCAACUACGUGCCAGCCGCCGCCGUAA
rnacentral:rRNA from 1 species